CUGUACCUCAAGCCCGGCUUGUGUGUUGGGCCUACCGUCCCCUGGACGGUGACCCGAAACGCAGUGGCGGCGUCGCGUCCCGGUCCUUGAAGCGUAUGGGGCUUUGUCACCCGCUUAGAGGCCGGCCGACCCCGUAGCCCAUCGUGGAUCUUCCACAUUUAUCU
rnacentral:misc_RNA from 1 species